GGACAGGGGAACAGAUACAUUCAUAACUUAAGGCAUCAGGCUAAAAUGCUAAAGGUUGGGUAAAGAAACUAGGAAUAGGGCCUGAGGAGGUUUUGAGUCAAUGAAAUAACAAAAUCCAUGAAAGGGAACAAAUUAGGUCAAGUAAGAGGAUAUAUGGUUUUUUUGUGAGGGAAUGAUUUAAAGUUCACUGACAGAAAUGAACACACUAAAGGUGCGGUGGGGCAGUCCCAGCAAAUCCUAUGGAGUUUCCCACUGAAGUGUCCGCUCUUGGGUUAGCCAGUGGGAGACCCGUUUUGUCGCCCCAGUCAGAAUUCCUCACUACCAACUUCAAGACUAGGUACCUUCAGCAGGUGCCUGCUAUGCAAAGUAAAAUAACUGACUUUUUGUGGGGUCUGCCUUCCUCCAAAGGACUCCCAUCCCUCCCCGAAAUGACAACGAAUUGGUUACCACAGGAACUCCCCCCUAUCAGUUCUCAGUUGGAACAUUGCGGGCUGGAGGGGAAAAAAACUUGACCCAGAAUUCUUGGAGUAUAUUAACCUGUUUCAUAUCAUCUUGUUCCAAGAAUCGUGGGAAGUAGAGAGAAUUGAUCUAAAUGGCUUUGAGCUUCUAGAACUCCCUGCCUGCCCCUCCCUGAAAGGAGGCCGCCCUAAAGGGGGCCUAAUAAUAGGCAUCUCCCUCAACUUACAUUCUAAAUUUACUCUAGUACAGGCCUUGCCUCCUUACGCUCUUACCGGGCUGAUUGCGGGGAAAAGAUCUCACUUCUAGUUACAAAUGUUUACUUGCCACCCGGGGUUCUUCCUCUGAACUGGGCUCUAAAUGGGGCUCGCUAGAAGAGCAUUUGCUCUCAUGCUAUGUCAAGUUUCCUAACACCCCGGCCAUAAUAGGUGGCGAUUUUAAUGCCCGCACAGCAGCAAAUUGGGACUCGCUGACCAAAGCCAAAUGGUGGGUUACCCCAAACCUUGAUAAUUAUGAUCUGGAACAUAUCAUGAGGAGAACUUCUAAAGACCAACAAGUUAAUGAGGCUGGAGUAUUCCUCUACCAAAUGGCCAUCCGUUUAAAUCUGGUCCCCCUAAAUGGCACAUGCCUCCCUGAUAUUCCAGGGGAUUUCACUCACCUGAGUGUUAAAUCAAACAGCGUCCUCGAUUACCUGCUGGUCUCCAGUGAUCUACUUAAGUGUAUUUCCACCUUUAAGAUCGAGAAUGUACAAUCUAGUGAUCAUCUUCCCCUUGUAGCCAAGCUUUCCCUGAAUUGGCAGUUGGAGACCUAUAGACAUGCGACCCAGAUGGUAACCAACGUAUCUCUUCAAGUAAGAGGAAUCAAAUGGUCGGAGACCCAGGCUCAAAGGUAUCAGGAAUUCUUUCAAAAAGAAAUCCUCGGGCCCCAUCCCUACAUAGGCUCUGCCUCAGAUGAGCAUAGCAUAGUGCUGAAACGCUUCCACCAUCAUACGACUGACCUUACGUCCUUCUUCAGGUUACCACCCAAAAUAUUAAAUCGAAACGAGUAUACUUACGGUGCCCCUGGUAUAACUCUCAGUGCAAACAAGCAAGACAGCGCCUUCGUGCUAUAUAUAAUGUAUAUAAGACCUCCGAUGCAUCUACUCUGCCAGCUAGUUAUGCACAAGCCAAGCAAGUUUAUAAACGCACGCAGAAAAUUGCCAAACGUGAGUGGCAACAUAAUCGCUGGCAGGCCUUGAUUACUGCUUCAAAAUCACAUAGAUCCAGGGAAUUCUGGUCUCUGAUUAACAGAAGGGUGAGGAAAUACCCAAGGGCAGUCAUCCCUGCACCGACAUGGGAAUUGUUCCUGAAGAAAUGUUUCUCACAGGCAGAUGCUCCCUCCGACCAUCUGAUGCAUCUGUUCUCCCACCUACCUAUUUGGCCUCCCACCGAUCCUGACGAAAUAGCCAAGCUAAUAGCCCAGCUGAAAUUGGGCAAAGCCCCAGGGCCCGACCUGAUCCCUGCUGAAGCCAUCAAACUACACCCAAAAUGGUGGGCUGGCAUCUUGGCCAAAACCUUCGACGCAAUCAACGCUUCUGGUAUCAUCCCCAAAAUAUGGAAGGAGGCCAUUAUAGUACCAAUUCACAAAAAGGUUCUCCAAUGGAGCCGGAAAAGUACCGUAACAUCAGCCUCCUUUCGAUCAUAGGGAAAAUUUAUGCCAGCUUUUGCUGACGAAACUAUCGCGAUGGGUAGAUGAGACUAACCAGAUUGGCCACGAACAAGCAGGGUUCAGAAUUAAACGCUCUACAACUGAUCAUGCGAUAGUUCUUUACCAUCUGGCACGGAAGUACUCCUCCCCCCCCGGGGCUAUCUGUGUGCUGCCUUCUUAGAUCUUAAGGCAGCCUUCGACAGCGUUCCUAGAAAUAUUCUUUGGGAGAAACUUGCGAAACAGGGCAUCGAUAGAAGGCUCUUAUGGCUUAUAAGUCAGCUCCACGAAGGUACCCUUGCCAGAGUGAGACUUACUCCUGCGGGCGACCUCACAAAUUCGAUACCAAUAAACAAGGGAGUGCGCCAAGGAUGUAUAUUGGCCCCCUGCCUAUUCAAUCUAUUCAUCAGCGACAUGCGAGCACCCCUAGUCAACUCAUCUCCAAGUACACAUGCGCCUAGACUAGCGGAUUACCGCUGUCCACUCCUUUUAUAUGCGGACGACGCGGUAAUUCUAUCUUAUACACGUGUUGGACUAACCAGAGCUCUGAAGAUCUUUGCCACGUAUUGUCAACUCAACCAAUUAACCAUCAAUCAUGCUAAAUCUAAGAUUCUGAUUUUCGCCAGAAGUCGGAGAUUAUACGAAUGGAAGCUUGGUGGAGCAAAAAUAGAGCAAGUCCUAAAAUUUCAAUACCUAGGAGUUAUUUUUCAAUACAAUUUGGGGUGGAAAGCACAUAUUCAACACCUACUUAAUAAGGCCAAAACUCUGUCAUAUGCGCUCCUCCGAUUUUUCUUUUCGGAUGGAGCUUUGCAUGUUCCCUCGGCCCUAAAGGUGUUCAAGGCAAAAGUGGUUCCCGUGCUUGCUUAUGCUGCCCCGCUCUGGGUCGUGAUGACAGACCUUGCUCCUCUUGAGACUUUGCAAAACCAAUUCCUACGUCGGCUCCUAAUGCUCCCCUGUGCGUAAGCAACGCAGCCAUGCGUUUAGAAUUGAGGAUCGCAUCCUUAGAAACCUGCCUGUGGAAGCAAGUCUUCAAUUAUUGGUUAUCAUUGUGGCAUAGAUUACCAGACCAUUACCUUGCCCAAUGCUUAUGGCGAGAUGAAUUCCCCAGCCUUUGGACCAGUAGAAUUCAUGCCAAACUCCUGAGCUAUGGAAUCUCUCCCUUAGAUUCCCUAAAACUAGAUCAAAUCACUGCUCAAAGACUGAUCCGCCAAAGACUGGAUGACAUCGAUUUACAGCAAAAUUAUAUGCUGGGGGGAGGUGUUUGUUCGCCCCAGAACAUUGGUAUCACUUUAACUUAUUGCGUUCCAUCAUACCUCUCCUCCCUUUCGACUGUUGCCCAUAGGCUGGCCUUCACCAAAGCGAGGUUUAAUGUUUUUCCCUCCAAUGUCCUGAGACAUAGAUUCUCAAAGGGCCAAACCUCCGCCAUGUGCGAAUGUGAUAAGGAGAUGCCGGAGUCGCUUCAGCACAUUAUGUUCACUUGCCCCUUAUUUAAGGUGCCACGGGCAAACUUGUUGGGAUCAAUCAUACAGAAAUUAGAGGGUACUCCACCAAAAUUCCACCUUGCCCAAAUCUUGCAGGAUAAGGAUGCCCAUACGACCCUGAAAGUGGCUAGGUUCCUGGUCGCUGUCCUUACCCAAAAGCGUCGCCAAGGAGCACCACAAGCUAAUUAAGGCGUAGUAUGCCAUUCCAUCUUAUAGUAGCUUAUUGUUAUAGUAGUGUUUUAGCGGCUGUUUUUUUCCCAUGUGCACAGGCUGUUAUUUAUGUCUUGUUUUUAUCUGUAUGGGCCUACGGCCGUAAUAAAUUAUUAUUAUUAUUAUUAUUAACACACUAAAGGGGUUUUGCCCAUGAAACUUUAAUUUUAGUUCAGGAAAGACAGGGAAAAUACACUCAUUUCCCCAACCCACACACAAAUCCAUUAAUAUGUUAUUGGCAAGUGCUUGAUUCAUUAGAGAGAUCCAGAUCAUUUAUAUAAUUUGUGUGUGUGUGUGCUCAUGAAUGGGCUAAAAUGAAGAGGUAAAUGAUUUUUCUUAUCUCUCUAACAACAUUUUAGCUUCUCGGCCCAUCACAAAAUUUAACCAUCUAGAGCACUUUUGAGGGUCAUUGCACCAAGCCUUCAGAUUGCUCAGUCAGUAGACUCUUAAUCUUAGGGUGUCAUGAACUGGCAGGAAAAUGUUGAGAAGGAAGAGGUUCCUGGCGAUGGAUAUAGCCAGGCCUGGGUCACACUGGGGCAAGCUGAGGAUGGGGAAGGAGAGGUUGGUGUUGGAAGUCCUCACAGGUGACGGAGGAUUGUGAGGGGAUGGGGAUCAGUGAUGGGGAUCCAAAGCAGCAGGACCCAUCACCAGAGUUGGAGGGGGGCCCAUCUCCACAAAGACAGCAGGCUCAGAGGUGUAGGGAGCAGCGGACUGGGCACUCUAGGAGACUGAGGCAAACAAGGGCCCACUGCCCAGCUCCUUAGCUGGCCAGGUGGGGCUCGCUAGCUCUGAGAGGAAAUGUGUGAUUUCUCAG